CCAAUCUUAGAAAGCAAUCAAGCAAGUUACAUGAUCAUUCUCCAAAUAAUACACCUUUCUGUGCAUUUCAUGGCAUCCUGGGCUUCGCCAAACGUGCUUCCGAAGAAACUAAUUCAAUCGCGGAGCAUGUGUCUGUUCAAUGGACUCACUCUCUAGAACUAUUCUUCGGAUGACAAGGAAUUGUUUCGACAUGAGAAUUGACGAGUCUCCACGUCAACCAAUGUUGUCUAGCAGGCCCACUUGCCGCUUUGAGGGAGGGGAAGUUGUUUCAGGGGUUUUGCUAGCUAAUCAAGUCCCCUAACAAGUCGCAGCAGGCUGUGGGUCAUCGAGGAAGAACCAGAGUUGGGUGCAGCGUGAGACUUCACUGAUGGAAAUGCUCAUGUUCGAUGUCGAAACUGCAGUUCAAAGUCAUGCAAAGCGUGCUGAGAUGAGUCGUAGAAUGGAGCUGUGAGAGUGUGAAGCUCAGGACUGGAGGCUCUGUUCAGUGAGCAAACCGGCGGUGUGCGCACUUUCAGUUCCAGGCACAGACUUCGACGUGAAGGAAGCGAUGGGCGUGUAGAGUUGCUGCUUGUUUGCAAGUGUGUC
rnacentral:lncRNA from 1 species